CGCAGACGGCCUGCCAGCUGUACCGCUGGACAUGCCGGGCAUUGGAGCGAGUGUGGGAGCAGGCCCGCACCCAUGAGCUCUUGCAGGUGGGAUGUUCGACAGUCCAGUAAUGCUGUAGCACCUUUUGGAUGGGCGGUUUGGAAACCUGCCUGCUGGGCCUGAAUGAGUGAACAUGAGGACAGUGGAGAGGAAGGAAAUCAUGAAGGAUCCAGUGAAGGACAACUGUGAAGGUUGGCAUGGGAAGCCUGGAUUUGACCUGAUAGGUGAGAGGGAACCACUCUAACCUUCUGAGCAGAGGAUGCCUCAGGGAAGAGCCCCCAGGAGAAUAGCGCUGGGCUCACAUGAAAUCAGCCCUAACGAGGCACAGGUCUGGACGAUUAAAACCUUCAAUGAGCCCUUCACAUAUUGUCUCUCAAGUCCUUCCCUUCCAUCAGCUCUGCCCUGUCUAAGUUCAGAUGCCCAAACAUCGUGUCUAGGCUUCGGAUCAACCUCCCUCCUGGUUCCCACCCUCCAUCACCAGCAGGAGUCCAUCCUCACCUGGCGAUCUUCCUGAAACACAAGCCUGGAAUCCCAUGGCGCUCCCGCCUUCAGCGCCUUCAGUGGAUCCUCACUGA